AGUGUGCCUGUCAAGAUUCCUGAGAAGCACCAGGAAUGGUGGGGCACACUUUUAACCCCAGCACUCUGGAGGAAAAGACUGAGAUAUCUAGGUAGUGCCACCGCUGCUGAUUCCUGUUUGUUAUCCUGACUCUAGCGAACUGGACUGCUGUGCAUUUGUGAAGUGUUUGCAAGUGGGUAGAGCUGCCGCUGCUAACCUGUGAACUGAACUGCUGAUUUCCAGACAUCACAGACAGGAGUUGCUUCAAAGAACCUUUCUGAACAGGUCCACUUCCC
rnacentral:lncRNA from 1 species